rnacentral:rRNA from 1 species
UGGGGAAUUUUGGACAAUGGGCGAAAGCCUGAUCCAGCAAUGCCGCGUGUGAAGAAGGCCUUCGGGUUGUAAAGCACUUUUGUCCGGAAAGAAAUCCUUGGCUCUAAUACAGUCGGGGGAUGACGGUACCGGAAGAAUAAGCACCGGCUAACUACGUGCCAGCAGCCGCGGUAAUACGUAGGGUGCAAGCGUUAAUCGGAAUUACUGGGCGUAAAGCGUGCGCAGGCGGUUUGCUAAGACCGAUGUGAAAUCCCCGGGCUCAACCUGGGAACUGCAUUGGUGACUGGCAGGCUAGAGUAUGGCAGAGGGGGGUAGAAUUCCACGUGUAGCAGUGAAAUGCGUAGAGAUGUGGAGGAAUACCGAUGGCGAAGGCAGCCCCCUGGGCCAAUACUGACGCUCAUGCACGAAAGCGUGGGGAGCAAACAGGAUUAGAUACCCUGGUAGCCCACGCCCUAAAACGAUGUCAACUAGUUGUUGGGGAUUCAUUUCCUUAGUAACGUAGCUAACGCGUGAAGUUGACCGCCUGGGGAGUACGGUCGCAAGAUUAAAACUCAAAUGAAUUGACGGGGUCAUAGCUGUUUCCU